CUCCUUUUUGAAGUGGCAGCACACACGAGCAUAUGCGUGCUCUCCUCGAUGCAUACAGGCGGCGCCGCCGCGGGCGCUCCUCGAUCCAUACGGGCGGCUGGUCUUCUUCUCCAGCCAUCUGCCGCCCUUCUCCCCUUCCCAUUCGCUGCCCUACUCUACCCUCCCGCCCCUAAUCUUCUCUGGCACUACCCCCAGCCUCCUGCUGCCGUGCCUCGAUCCAUACAGGCGCCACCGCGCGGGGGGCGGUCUUCUUCUCCAGCCAUCCGCCGCCCUCCUCCCCUCCCCUCCCUCUUAAUAUUCUUCUUCUUCUCCGGCCAGCCGUCGCCCUCCUCAAAUCCCGCGGAGUUUGCCGGAGGAAGAACAUCCGCCGUCCGAAUGUGCUACACCAGAGGGAAGCACCGGAAAGAGGAUGUUUCUAUGCAGCAUAACCCAAAAGUUUAAUUUAAGGUUGUACAGAGGAGCUCAAGGACAACUGAGGUUAAUUUAAUCAAUUCCUUGGCGUACUUUAGUAAACGAGGAUAUAUUGGGUGGUCUCCAACAGCCCGACGACAAUACAGAGUCGUCGUAGUUGGAUUGUGUUCAUGUAACACUGAAACUUGACAUAGUUAGUAUAAAAAGGCACUUUGGUGUCUCAGCAACCAGGUCACCACCGACCACCACGGUGGCUCGCAGCGAUGUCCUCCCACCACCCUAUGUACGACCAGCAGCGAGAUGGGCGGGAACUCUUUGGCGUGCCGGCACACAGGAACGACACACGCCGUACAACCUGAAGGACACGUUCGUCAGGCUUGACUUGACCCUCACCGACGCCACCUUGCCACCUCUGCUGCUGGAGAUCAGCCGAAGACUUAGCUUGUUGCCGCUUUGCUUCAAUGGUUGCUUUAAUGCUCUUGGACUGUCCGUAAUGAGCAGCUGAUGGUGCUUAGACGAAACAAUUGAUUAUAAAAUGGGUAGUGCUGUGUCGGUGGUCAUGUGUCCGCUGACUAACUGUAAAACACCUAAGAUGAUUUUUCAGGACUUGAUACAUUCCAAUUACUCAUUGGCGUCU